rnacentral:rRNA from 1 species
GAGUUUGAUCAUGGCUCAGAUUGAACGCUGGCGGCAGGCCUAACACAUGCAAGUCGAGCGGUAGAGAGAAGCUUGCUUCUCUUGAGAGCGGCGGACGGGUGAGUAAUGCCUAGGAAUCUGCCUGGUAGUGGGGAUAACGCUCGGAAACGGACGCUAAUACCGCAUACGUCCUACGGGAGAAAGCAGGGGACCUUCGGGCCUUGCGCUAUCAGAUGAGCCUAGGUCGGAUUAGCUAGUUGGUGAGGUAAUGGCUCACCAAGGC